rnacentral:rRNA from 3 species
UACGUAGGGGGCGAGCGUUGUCCGGAAUUACUGGGCGUAAAGGGUUCGCAGGCGGCAUGGCAAGUCCGAUGUAAAAGGCGAAGGCUCAACCUUCGUAAGCAUCGGAAACUGUCAAGCUUGAGUGAAGGAGAGGCAAGUGGAAUUCCUAGUGUAGCGGUGGAAUGCGUAGAUAUUAGGAGGAAUACCGGUGGCGAAGGCGACUUGCUGGACUUCAACUGACGCUGAGGAACGAAAGCGUGGGUAGCAAACAGG